GAUGAACGCUGACAGAAUGCUUAACACAUGCAAGUCCACUUGAAUUUGGGUUUUUAACUUAGGUUUGGGUGGCGGACGGGUGAGUAACGCGUAAAGAACCUGCCUCACAGCUAGGGACAACAUUUGGAAACGAAUGCUAAUACCUAAUAUUAUGAUAAUAGGGCAUCCUAUAAUUAUGAAAGCUAUAAGCGCUGUGAGAGAGCUUUGCGUCCCAUUAGCUAGUUGGAGAGGUAACGGCUCACCAAGGCGACGAUGGGUAGCCGGCCUGAGAGGGUGAUCGGCCACAAGGGGACUGAGACACGGCCCUUACUCCAACGGGAGGCAGCAGUGGGGAAUAUUGGACAAUGGACCGAGAGUCUGAUCCAGCAAUUCUGUGUGCACGAUGAAGUUUUUCGGAAUGUAAAGUGCUUUCAGUUGGGAAGAAACAAAUGACGGUACCAACAGAAGAAGUGACGGCUAAAUACGUG
rnacentral:rRNA from 1 species